UAAAUAAAACAUUACGGUGCCAAAUAAUUAACUGCUUCAAAAUAUCAACAUUUACCAUACGUAUUUAUAAAAAUAGCAAUAUUUCCUUUAGCAUGAGAAUAUUCAUUGUAUGCCAUAUGUUUGUUGCGCUCGCAGCCACUAGAGGGCGCUCUCACACUAGUUCAAUGCCAGGUGUUGUUAAUGAAGCAUUAGUUACAGGCGCGAUCAAAGCUGCCCAGGAGAAAAGGUCCUUCAGGAAUCAGAUGCAGUGUGGAAGAGGAUGAUGAAGAGGACUGCAGAACGAUCUCCUGCUGCUUUGGACACAUUGGUUGAGAAACAGCAUGUGCACACUGGUGGAUUGCGGAUGUUGGAUUGGGAGACGGCUGCUGUUCUGAUGGGAAAGACUUUCAAACAAACAGCUUUUCCAUCUGAAUACUGAUGUACAGAACUUGCUUAAAGAUGCUCGCUACAGUGUGUGUAGUGUGUUUCUUUUAAGAAAAAGGAAAAUAUAUUUGAAUUAUUUUCAUCUAAUUUAAUAAUCAAGAAAUGUUUUGGAGCUGUAUGUGUGCUCACUGGCUUUUGCUUUAUAUUUGCAAAUCACAUUUAUCACAUGCUUUAUUGUUGACCAGUCACAUCCAAACUCAACUUCAAGCCUGUUUCAUAUUUCAACUGUUUCAUCAAGUGACCUGCACUGGUAGAAGCUGGAGUGUGUGACAUGAAAGGAAAGUCAACAAUAAUUGUGCUACUGGUUUUGACACAUGAUAACUUUCUUGCAGGGUGUUUGUGUCUGUGAUAUUUCAACAGGGUUACAUGAGCUUUGCAGACCAAUAUGAAUAGUUAAGUCAGCACUCAGAUACUGUUUCAGAGCUAAAAUUGACGUAAUUAUUAAAAAAGUGCUGUUUGACUGCCGAGAUCUGCCCUGUCCACAAAUUCAUACUGAUGUCAUCGCUAUUGCACAACAGUGAAAUUGAUCUGUUUAGUUUGCUUUCAGUAUUAUAGUCUAGGACUGUGUUGUUAUUGUUUAUUUUUAAAUAAGCAAAAU